CAGGGAUUGCCUCAGUAACGGCGAGUGAAGCGGCAACAGCUCAAAUUUGAAAUCUGACCCCCUCGGGGCCCGAGUUGUAAUUUGUAGAGGGUGUUUCGGGCGCGGCGCCGGUCUAAGUUCCUUGGAACAGGACGUCACAGAGGGUGAGAAUCCCGUAUGUGACCGGCGAUCAAGCCCAUGUGAAGCCCCUUCGACGAGUCGAGUUGUUUGGGAAUGCAGCUCAAAAUGGGUGGUAAAUUUCAUCUAAAGCUAAAUACUGGCCAGAGACCGAUAGCGGACAAGUAGAGUGAUCGAAAGAUAAAAGCACUUUGGAAAGAGAGUCAAACAGUACGUGAAAUUGUUGAAAGGGAAGCGCUUGCAAUCAGACCGGUCCGGGGGUGAUCAGCCGCUGCUCGUCAGCGGUGCACUCGCCCUCGAUCCGGCCAGCAUCGGUUUGGGCGGCGGGAGAAAAGUCCCGGGAAUGUAGCUUCUCUCGGGGAGUCUUAUAGCCCGGGUCGGCAUGCCGCCCGCCUGGACCGAGGACCGCGCUUCGGCUAGGAUGCUGGCGUAAUGGUUGCAAGCGACCCGUCUUGAAACACGGACCAAGGAGUCUAACAUCUAUGCGAGUGUUUGGGUGUCAAACCCGGGCGCGGAAUGAAAGUGAACGGAGGUGGGAACCCGUCAGACGGCGCACCAUCGACCGAUCCAGAUGUCUUCGGAUGGAUUUGAGUACGAGCAUAGCUGUUGGGACCCGAAAGAUGGUGAACUAUGCCCGGAUAGGGUGAAGCCAGAGGAAACUCUGGUGGAGGCUCGCAGCGGUUCUGACGUGCAAAUCGAUCGUCAAAUCUAGGCAUAGGGGCGAAAGAC
rnacentral:rRNA from 1 species